CUUUGAAGCUAUCUGUUGCAGAUUCCUCUCUUCUAGUCAAGCAGGGUGCCCAGGACAGUAGAAAAGAAACAGUUCCUGGACUCUUCAGAAUUGUACAGUACUAUUAUCCUGUCAAUGCUAAUUUGGAAUUAAUUGGCCAUCCAGUCCAGUAUCCUGUCUCCUACAGCAGCCCCUUACAGAUGAUUCAGUUUGCACAAUGCAGCAAAUUGUAUAAUAUUGUG